AGAGUUUGAUCAUGGCUCAGAUUGAACGCUGGCGGCAGGCCUAACACAUGCAAGUCGAGCGGUAGAGAGGUGCUUGCACCUCUUGAGAGCGGCGGACGGGUGAGUAAUACCUAGGAAUCUGCCUGGUAGUGGGGGAUAACGUUCGGAAACGGACGCUAAUACCGCAUACGUCCUACGGGGAGAAAGCAGGGGACCUUCGGGCCUUGCGCUAUCAGAUGAGCCCUAGGUCGGAUUAGCUAGUUGGGUGAGGUAAUGGCUCACCAAGGCUACGAUCCGUAACUGGUCUGAGAGGAUGAUCAGUCCCACUGGGAACUGAGACACGGUCCAGACUUCCUACGGGAGGCAGCAGUGGGGAAUAUUGGGACAAUGGGGCGAAAGCCUGAUCCAGCCAUGCCGGCGGGUGUGGAAGGAAGUCCUUCGGGAUUUGUAAAGCAACUUUAAAGUUGGGGAGGGAGGGGCAUUAACCCUAAUUACGUUAAGUGCUUUGACGUUUACCCGACCAGAAAUAAAGCAACCGGGCUAACUCCUGUUGCCCAGCAGCCGCCGGUAAUAACAGAAGGGUGGCAAGCCGUUUAAUCGGAAUUACUGGGGCGUAAAGCGCGCGUAAGGUGGUUUUGUUAAGUUGAAUGGUGAAAUCCCCCGGGCUCAACCUGGGAACUGCAUC
rnacentral:rRNA from 1 species